rnacentral:rRNA from 1 species
UACGGAGGGUGCAAGCGUUGUCCGGAUUUAUUGGGUUUAAAGGGUGCGUAGGUGGCCUAUUAAGUCAGUGGUGAAAUCCUGCAGCUUAACUGUAGAACAGCCAUUGAUACUGAUGGGCUUGAGUUCAGACGAGGUAGGCGGAAUUUAUGGUGUAGCGGUGAAAUGCAUAGAUACCAUAAAGAACACCGAUUGCGAAGGCAGCUUACUAGACUGAAACUGACGCUGAGGCACGAAAGCGUGGGGAUCAAACAGG